rnacentral:rRNA from 1 species
GACCCCACGAAGCUGGAUUCGCUAGUAAUCGCGCAUCAGCCAUGGCGCGGUGAAUACGUUCCCGGGCCUUGUACACACCGCCCGUCAAGCCAUGAAAGCCGGGGGCGCCUGAAGUCCGUGACCGCGAGGGUCGGCCUAGGGUGAAACCGGUGAUUGGGGCUAAGUCGUAACAAGGUAUC